AGAUCGCUGCCUGAUUGGCUGGUGGUGAAGGGCGGCACGGGCUCUGCUGCUUUCACAGGUCCGGCGGCGGCUGGC
rnacentral:pre_miRNA from 1 species